UCUGACACAGGUGCUGCAUGGCUGUCGUCAGCUCGUGUCGUGAGAUGUUGGGUUAAGUCCGUACGAGCGCAACCCUUGUCCUUAGUUACCAGCACGUUAUGGUGGGCACUCUAAGGAGACUGCCGGUGACAAACCGGAGGAAGGUGGGGAUGACGUCAAGUCAUCAUGGCCCCUACGGCCUGGGCUACACACGUGCUACAAUGGUCGGUACAAAGGGUUGCCAAGCCGCGAGGUGGAGCUAAUCCCAUAAAACCGAUCGUAGUCCGGAUCGCAGUCUGCAACUCGACUGCGUGAAGUCGGAAUCGCUAGUAAUCGUGAAUCAGAAUGUCACGGUGAAUACGUUCCCGGGCCUU
rnacentral:rRNA from 1 species